GGGCGAAUGGUCUAGGGGUAUGAUACUCCCUUCGCAUAUCUGGAAUUUCUCCAGGAAUAGACGACUGGGAGGGGUCCGGGGUUCAAUUCCCCGUUCGUCCA